GGGGAAUAUAACGGAACCAUAGCGGAAGAGAGCUUUAUAGGUGACGUUCUCACUUCUCUUUUCUGGACUUGUCCAUCAACUUCUUCUAGGCUCCCGGGGUCUUCCAGCUGACUUUUAGGUGCCCAGACCUUCAGGAUGCCCCCAGUCGGACCUGCAGAAGAGUUCAUACUCCAAACCCAUGAGACUGCUUAGGAUGGUCCUGAGGUGCCCCACUUUAAGACCCUGAGAUGGACAGAGGAGAAACGUUUCCUCCCCUCCAGAGCUAAGCAUACUUCCUCUGGCUAGAGAACACCUCCAGACAGAGUUGCCGGAAGCCCCUACACAUCCAGGAGGGUCGCAAAGGAGGGCUGGAGACAGCAUUUCAGCCUGCAAAGACCUCAUACCCCAGAGAUGAGAAGAGGCUGCUUCGUGGACAGUUCUGCUGCAUACCAUAUAACAAAACACACCCUGGACAUGCCCGUGAGGAGCGCAGCCUGAGAAGCAAAGAAAGACUUACCCAUGAGCUAGAUGUUGAACUUCUUCACUGAACAUGAAGAUUCUGAUGUGGUAAUGAUGAUAAUCAGAACUUGAGACAAGGUCUAAGAUGGAGUUAAUUAUAUUUGGGAGAUAAUUCCUGGAAGCAAAAAUGAGUAAUUGGGAAGAGAGAAAAGAGAACUUAUCAAAGGCAAUCCGAAUGCAUAAGUUAUUUGCUCACUACUGUGCAAUGGGACUCAUGUCUAAGUUA
rnacentral:lncRNA from 12 species